AUAUUGCGCAAUGGAGGGAACUAUGACGCAGCGACGCCGCGUGAGCGAUGAAGGUAUUCGGAUCGUAGAGCAAUGCCCUUGGGGAAGAAGGUCUUCGGACUUGACUGUACCUAAAGAGGAAGCCCCGGCUAACCUAGUGCCAGCAGCCGCGGUAAUACGUAGGGGGCAAGCGUUGUCCGGAAUUAUUGGGCGUGUAGGUUGCGUAGGCCGCCUUUUAAGUCAGAUGUGAAAGCCCACGGCUUAACCGUGGGACUGCAUUUGAAACUGGAGGGCUUGAGUAUCGGAGAGGGUAGUGGAAUUCCCAGUGUAGCGGUGGAAUGCGUAGAUAUUGGGAGGAACGCCAGUGGCGAAGGCGACUACCUGGACGAAAGCUGACGCUGAGGCACGAAAGCUAGGGGAGCAAACA
rnacentral:rRNA from 1 species